rnacentral:rRNA from 1 species
AUGAUGUGCUCACUGGUGAAUGGAAUCAAGAGGCACAAGGAGCAUCUUUCUGGCUGUGGUGGAGAUGCCAUUCGCUGUCCUAAGGCUACCACUGAAAUCAGGAGAGAGAUGGCAGCAUAUUUGGAGCAAAACAGGAGGAACAAGGGAGUAGAUGAUGAUGACAACAAUAAUGAUGUUGUGGAGGUGAAUGAAGAUGGAACAAAUGUCCCCAUUACCAAGCCAAGCUCAGGGACAGCAGCCAAGAGGAACAAGAGAGCAUUUGUUGCCAAGAUGCAAGGAAGAGGUAAGUCUGCUGUUGCUUCCAACAACAAUUCAAAGCCAAUUGUUGCCAUGCUGCGAAGAACACCUGAGGAGCUUGUAGAUGGAAGACGCUCUGGGUGUUCUCAAAGCACCAUGGAGUCCAGCACAAAGACUAAAGAAGAGAGAGAAUAUGUGAAUAUCGAGUGGGCAUUGUUCUUCUAUGAGUGUGGCAUUUCAUUCAAUGCUGCAAGUAGUAGACAAUUUGAGAUUGCAAUUGAAGCCGCUUGUCAAUAUGGUUCAGGUCACAAGCCUCCUAGUGCCUAUGAGCUGAGAGAGCCAUUGCUUAAUGCUUGUGUCAAGGAAACUACUACUUUGAGGAAGCAACAUGAGGCAGCAUGGAAACAAUUUGGAUGCACACUCAUGUCGGAUGGCUGGUCAGAUAAAAGGGGACGCCAUUUGAUCAACUUCCUUGUUAACAGUCCAGAGGGCACCGUCUUCUUGGAGUCGAUUGAUGCCUCAAGUGAAUCACACAGUGCUCAAAUGAUUGCUGAUCUGCUGGAGAAGAGAAUUAUGGAAAUUGGGAAAGAAAAUGUUGUGCAAGUUGUCACCGACAAUGGUGCCAACUACAAGGCAGCAGGCCACCUUCUAGAGUUGAGGUUCCCUACACUAUAUUGGAGUCCUUGUGCAUGUCAUUGCUUGGAUCUAAUGCUGGAAGACAUAGGAAAGCUGAAGGCAUUCAAGAAGCCUAUUGCACGGGCUAGACGUGUCACAACUUUCAUCUAUAGGCAUGGAAGAAUUCUUAGUCUAAUGAGGAAGAUGACAAAAGGGCUAGAUCUUGUGAGACCCGCAGCCACUCGUUUUGCCACAGCUUCCUUACAUUAA